GCUGUGGUGGUUCAGAGGUAGAAUUCUCACCUUCUAAGCUGGAAACCCAGGAUGGAUUCCUGGCCAAUGCA
rnacentral:tRNA from 1 species